ACACCAAGGACCUUUUUCUCUCUGGCAAAUUGAGGUAGUAGGUUGUAUAGUAGUAAUUACACAUCAUACUAUACAAUGUGCUAGCUUUCUUUGCUUGACUACAAGCCGCAUUUGAUAAAA
rnacentral:precursor_RNA from 15 species